rnacentral:rRNA from 1 species
UACGGAGGGUGCAAGCGUUAUCCGGAUUCACUGGGUUUAAAGGGUGCGUAGGUGGGUUGGUAAGUCAGUGGUGAAAUCUCCGAGCUUAACUUGGAAACUGCCAUUGAUACUAUCAGUCUUGAAUAUUGUGGAGGUUAGCGGAAUAUGUCAUGUAGCGGUGAAAUGCUUAGAUAUGACAUAGAACACCAAUUGCGAAGGCAGCUGGCUACGCAUAUAUUGACACUGAGGCACGAAAGCGUGGGAUCAAACAGG